UGCCCCAUGGCUGAGUUGGUUACAGCGUCCGACUGUUAAGGGCUUCAAGAUUACACCCAAAGCUAUCGGAAGGUCGUGAGUUCGACCCUCACUGGGGCAG